UGGGGAAUAUUGCACAAUGGGCGAAAGCCUGAUGCAGCGACGCCGCGUGAGGGAUGACGGCCUUCGGGUUGUAAACCUCUUUCAGUAGGGACGAAGCGCAAGUGACGGUACCUGCAGAAGAAGCACCGGCUAACUACGUGCCAGCAGCCGCGGUAAUACGUAGGGUGCGAGCGUUUUCCGGAAUUACUGGGCGUAAAGAGCUCGUAGGCGGUUUGUCACGUCGUCUGUGAAAUCCUAGGGCUUAACCCUGGACGUGCAGGCGAUACGGGCUGACUUGAGUACUACAGGGGAGACUGGAAUUUCUGGUGUAGCGGUGGAAUGCACAGAUAUCAGGAAGAACACCGAUGGCGAAGGCAGGUCUCUGGGUAGUAACUGACGCUGAGGAGCGAAAGCAUGGGUAGCGAACAGG
rnacentral:rRNA from 1 species